rnacentral:rRNA from 1 species
CAGUCGCCGCGGUAAUACGAGGGGGGCAAGCGUUGUUCGGAAUUGUUGGGCGUAAAGGGCGCGUAGGCGGUUUGGCAAGUUUCGUGUGAAAUCUUCGGGCUCAACUCGAAGUCUGCACGGAAAACUGCCGGGCUUGAGUAUGGGAGAGGUGAGUGGAAUUUCCGGUGUAGCGGUGAAAUGCGUAGAUAUCGGAAGGAACACCUGUGGCGAAAGCGGCUCACUGGACCAUAACUGACGCUGAGGCGCGAAAGCUAGGGGAGCAAACAGGAUUAGAUACCCGCGUAGUCCCUGUCUCUUAUAC